rnacentral:rRNA from 1 species
UACGUAGGUGGCAAGCGUUGUUCGGAAUUACUGGGCGUAAAGGGCGCGUAGGCGGCCCCUCUAAGUCGAACGUGAAAUCCCUGGGCUCAACCCAGGAACUGCGUCCGAGACUGGGGGGGCUCGAAUCCGGGAGAGGGAUGUGGAAUUCCAGGUGUAGCGGUGAAAAUGCGUAGAUAUCAGGAGGAACACCGGUGGCGAAGGCGGGGUCUCUGGGCAGUAACUGACGCUGGAGGAGCGAAAGCGUGGG